CCAGCUCCAAUAGCGUAUAUUAAAAGUUGUUGCAGUUAAAAAAGCUCGUAGUUGGAUUUCUGGUGGGAGGGAACCGUCCGAUCUCAGAUUGGUGCGUGUUCCUCUCCGGCCAUCCUUGAGUCUAACCUCCUUGGCAUUAAGUUGUCGAGGUGGGGGAUACUCAUCGUUACUGUGAAAAAAAUUAGAGUGUUCAAAAGCAG
rnacentral:rRNA from 1 species